GACGAACGCUGGCGGCGUGCUUAACACAUGCAAGUCGAACGAAGAGCGAUGGAAGCUUGCUUCUAUCAAUCUUAGUGGCGAACGGGUGAGUAACGCGUAAUCAACCUGCCCUUCAGAGGGGGACAACAGUUGGAAACGACUGCUAAUACCGCAUACGAUCUAAUCUCGGCAUCGAGGAUAGAUGAAAGGUGGCCUCUACAUGUAAGCUAUCACUGAAGGAGGGGAUUGCGUCUGAUUAGCUAGUUGGAGGGGUAACGGCCCACCGAGGCGAUGAUCAGUAGCCGGUCUGAGAGGAUGAACGGCCACAUUGGGACUGAGACACGGCCCAGACUCCUACGGGAGGCAGCAGUGGGGAAUCUUCCGCAAUGGACGAAAGUCUGACGGAGCAACGCCGCGUGAGUGAUGACGGCCUUCGGGUUGUAAAGCUCUGUUAAUCGGGACGAAAGGCCUUCUUGCGAAUAGUGAGAAGGAUUGACGGUACCGGAAUAGAAAGCCACGGCUAACUACGUG
rnacentral:rRNA from 1 species